rnacentral:tRNA from 1 species
CGGGGUGUGGCGCAGUGGUAGCGCACGUGCUUUGGGAGCACGAGGUCGUGGGUCCGAAUCCCACCGCCCCGACCA